rnacentral:lncRNA from 1 species
GAUGUCCAAGACAUAACAAGUGAUAGCGAGAAGAGCAAACAAUCAGAGUCAUGCAUCCAUACUGAUAAUAAUGUCCAAGACAUACCAAGUGACAGCGAGAUAACAUCAUCAGAACAACGCGUCGACAGCACAACACAUGCCACUUCACACAAGGAUAGGGCAGAAACUGAGUCACUGACCUGA